UUCAUUUUAAAAAAUCAUCUAAAUUAUCUUGGUCUCAGUUAACGUCUGUAUAGCACGCAACUGCCCAACCUACAGCUCCCCACCUCACUUGAUGUAUGAUACUCACUCUUCAAUCCCAUACACUUAGAUUUAAUAUGCACUUUUGCAUCCAGUUGAUUAUUCAGACACAUUGUUGAUUUAAUCAAGAAUAUAUGGAUUUGUAUUCCCUUCAGUACCAAGGUGACCUGAAAGAGGUAUAUGGGACCUAGGUGGGGUACAGAAUCAAGAUCUUUUCCCUUUGGCAGGGGUAUCAAGAGCAGGACAAGGAAGGAGUUUUAAAAGGAAUAAAUAAGAGGGUAGUGCCUUACAACAGGAGUGACUAAUAUCUGCCAGAUGAGGUGGUGAAAUCAUCCAGGUGUGAAUAUAAACAGGCAAAGCAUAUUAAGAUGUAGACUUGUGGGCAAAAAAAGAUUGGUGUGCAUGUGAUGGGCUUUACAAUUUUACGUUCUGUAAUGCAAAACUUGCAAAUCUUAUACAAAAUCUGCCAUAAGUUACCUUAUAUAUAAAAGGAACCAAAAUUUCACAAACUGGUUAAAAACCACUGACACUAAAAAUGAGAAAACAAUGAAGGAAAUUUGAGCCAAUGGUCAUCCAGAGUUUAAAGCAAAUGUUGGAGAAAACAAGCACUGUAGUGCUACAUGCCCUGCCAGACCUUGUCAUAUAUUUCAAAAGUAAUUCAACUUAUCUAUCCCUUUCCCAAUCAGGCUUUUUAGUAUUGAGCCAUGGCUAUUUCUGAUUUUCCAUCAGCAAGUUCAUGACCUCUCCUUGCCCUCUUGAUGACAGUUCAUGCCUCAGGAUUUAAAAACAGAAAGCACUUGGCACAUUAAUUCUGCAAUUCGUCAUUCUCCUCCAAAGGACAGUGUCUGUGCAAGGCUUCCUCUGUGUAUAUUUCAGAAAUGGUUCUCAACACAGCAGCUUCAAAUUAACAAAUCAUCAAAUGAAACCUGGCAUCCAGGGCAGAAUAAAAUCAGAGAGCCUAGAAUGCACAUGAAAUGAAAUUCAUGAAAUGACAGCUCCGCAGUUGACACAGUUCUGCCACAGUAUUCACCAAAGAAUGGGUCCAAUUGAUGUUCCUGAACUCGGCAGUCCCAUCAAGCAACUUAAUAUUGCUUAAUUUCCUUCAGGUUUUUUUUUGCGUGGUAAAUCUCUACAGUGGCCCUAUUUUUCAUUAUCUGUCCACACACAGCACCAGCACAAUCUAACAACCUGAAAGACUUGUUCCACUUCACUUGUGUAGCAAUUUACAAUGCCGACUUAUCACACAGCUUGCACGCAGGGAAGGAUGUAUCGUCAAGACACUUUGAACAGAUCCAGAUAUUUUCAUUCACAUAAAAUGUAUCAAGUUUCAACCAAAGAACCAUUUACUUCGGUAUUAUCCCAAGGUCUGGAUUAAGGAUGAGUUGUUUACAAAUAACUGGAGACCCGCUUCACACUGUAUCUCAAGAACUGCCGAGCUAACCACAGUUCCUUGGUUACAAAGAAGAAGACAGUGAAAGACCGGGCCUUGUUCUUUUUUUAUUAAUAAAUGUGCUGCCAUAGCAUCUGAGGAAUUUGUUUCCUCGCCCACUUAAAGGUGCAUAAUCUCUGCUGCAAACACCGCAACCAUCAAACAGGCAAAGCCUGAUGAACGGAAUGCAAGGCGCCCCUUGCAUUCUUGGUCGCCGUUUCCCUCACUGGGAGGGGGACAGGGUACGCGACAGAGUGAAUCUUACUCUGGACACAAGGACGGGACGAAGCACGCUGCAGCCUGAGUUUGACCCGGGUCACAGCGCCGAGCGCUCGGACUGGGCAGGUUUACAGAGCGGGUCUCGCCGCCCCGCAGCGACCGCACUGUUGCGAGUAGCCCCGGUAAAACAGGACACGUUUAUUUUCACUACCUCAUCUUCAUCCAAACGAACAACGUUGCGCCUUCUGGACAGUCGUUUUAGUGCUACGUGAAAGUAGGACAACGUCGCUUUGUUAACGCCGCUGCCGAGUCCACUCGCACCCCUCCCCAGCAUCCUCGGUAAUCGGGCUCUCGUAUUCGAAACAGGCUCCGAGGGCAACAGAGACGAAUUUAGCGUAAACUGUGGUUUUUGCUCGUGGGGAGAAUUUUAAUUGCGCCCUGUUAACCAAAGGAUCAGUGUGCUUUGAAUGUUGUUGCAUUGUAAUCAAAUAUGAACUACAGGACUGUUUCUAAGAGCGAGAAUUUAUAGGAAUAUGUUCGCCAUUCGUUAACGUAAAUGAAAAUAUGACAUCGGAUCUCCGGUUCUCUAUUCGACAACCACAUAUUAUUAAAGCGCUUCAAUGCAUUGAGUGCAAAGGUAAUUCCAAUCUGUGCUGUGGCGCACAUGAAUGAUACUGCAAAGAAACUAGAAUCGGGACUGCUGCUACCCCAAAACUACAAAUCCCUCUGCUGAAUAAAUUUCUUUGUUAAAUUCCAUAGACUGACACUAUUUCAACUUUUACACGCUGCCGAGUAGAUAACUUGAGGCCAGGGAAGGAAACCUGGGCGUCUCGUUGAGUCUGAUUUAGGGGGCUACGAAUAGUUCAAAGCAUAUUUUGACCAUUUGGUCUGCGCGCACGGACAAAUGCAGAAUCGACUAAUCGGACAGCACAAGUUGCAAUGCCUUUGCUUGUCCGCAAUGUCCCGUGAAAUUUCUUUCCAUAUCGUUAGUGUUGGGAAAACCGCGGCUCCAACAUGUUUGGCAGUCAUCUGUAUCCAGUGGAUACGAUUCCAGCCUAGUUUCGUCUUCCACAACCAGGCCGAAGACGACGAAAUUUAAUUUCCAACGAUACUGAACUAUGAUUGACAAUCAUGGGUGGUCGGGAGCAAAAUUGGUUAACCUACUCUCUCCGCCGUUGGGCGCACUGAUAUAAACAACUUGGAUUUUUAAACAUUCUCCUCUAAAUCUUCAUGGGACAGGGAAGAUUGAAGUUUUACAACAAGCCCACAGAUAAAAAGUUCUUCAGAUUUACAAAAUGCAGAUGAUUGAAGCAUGUAGCUUUGAUUUGUUCCUCCCCUCACCAUGACCAAUCCCUUAUGUCUCUCUUCUUCAACAUUAUCCUGCCUGGACAGAUAAUGGGGAUAUCAGCUGGAGGAAGUGGAGCAGAAGACACGUUGCCAGUCAGGCAGACACUUUGUAGACCCCAGCUCAUUUACUGGCACUUUACUGGCUACAGCAAUCAGCUUUGCUGCAGGAUCUGUGGACAUUUCUGGAGACAAGGCAAGGUGAAGAUUAAACUUGGUGGCAACUGCCCUGUUCUGCUUCUGAAGAUUCUGGAGGCCUUCUAUUCUUGAAGAAAUGCCUGUGGUAGAGGUAGGCUUUCCUGGAAGCCUGAACAAUCUGUAAAGCAAUACAAAUGAAGUUUGGCUCUAAAACAGCACUUGGGCUUUAUCUGGAGCUAGCGACCAUUCAAUCAUCACUUUCCUGUUAACAUCUGUGGAGCCACCCAUAAUGUAGAAUUUGAUCAUCUGUGAUUCAGUUUCAACUGGAAACAGAAUUAAAAUCCCAACCUGUUUCAGUAUUUGUGCAGCAACUUCCAUUAGCUACAACCUUUGGGGAGCAUUUAAUAGAAACAGUAGGAGAUGGUGCCAGAUAACGGAUGGCACUGUGGCACAGCUAGCAGAACUGCUGCCUUACAGUUCCAGAAUCCCAGGUUCAAUCUCAACCAUCGGUGCUGUGAACAAUUUGUACAUUCUUCACCUGACUCUCCAGGUUUCUUCCAGGUCCUCUAGUUCCCUCACACGUUCCAAAAGGAAACUUGGCCACAGUGAUUUCCCCAAGUGUGUAGCUGGAAGCUGAUUUGCUGCCUGUUCUGACUCUGAAGGGGUACAUUCUUCACAGCUGUCCACCUACAAAUGCUACAGUCACCACACAACCAUCUGGCAGCUUAGACAUAUGCCACUGUAGUCAUCAGCUUCCUUUCUAACACCAGUUUUGUUCAGCAGCUGAAGAACACAAUAGAAACCACAAGAAAUAACUGGAACGUGGCUUGGCAAUAUCGACGCUGUUCGCAUUUUUUGCUAUUUUUUUACAAACUUCGCAACUUGAAUGAAAAACUUCCCAAAUAUUCAUUGUAUCAGUGAUCAGAGAGCACUGGCCCUUUCAAAUUAAACAGUGGAAGCAGCUCUGCAUCAUAGUCAUUAUUAAUGAGAAGCAAUCCUGUUGAAAAAAGGUUGACCUAUUCUUUUAAAUAAUGUCUCUAUAUUGCUUAGAAAUAAUUAUUAAGUCUGUUAUAAAAAAGGUUAAAA